rnacentral:lncRNA from 1 species
CCUUGAAAAACUUUAGGUUUUUUUUUUGUUAGUAGUAUUCACUAGUUUUGCAUCUGAACAUUGAAAAUGAAAAGAAAUCUACAGACAUUAGUUACUUCUGCUAAAUCUGAUGGGACCUCAUCCAACAUGGGCAAGGAGGCUUCAAUCCGCAAGAAACAGAAAAUAAAAGAUUGGUUGAUGACAAACAUCAAUCAAAAGAUUGAUGUACAGCCUAACCUGCCACCAGCCACUCCAAUUAAGAAGAAACGCCGCCAAUGGGAGAGGAACCUGUUUCUAGAACAACAAGGCAUCCAAAGUACCAGAACACAAGUUUUACUGGAGGAGAUAAGUGAUGCUUUACAGGCUGAAAAAAUAGUUACUUCUGCUAACUGUGAUGCCCAUGGGACCUCAUCCAACAUGGCCAAGGGGGCUUCAUUCCACCAGAAGGAUGAUCCAAUCAAAGAUAGGUUGAUGAAGGUUUCUUGUAAAAAUGAGGAAUCUGAAAAUAAUUCAUCUAAAUCUCCUCAGAAGCGUGAAAGUAACAAAGCCUGGCCAAACAAGGUUGAUACCUAUCCUGUUGAACCUGAAAACAAUUUGUCUGAGCCUUCUGAGUGUCCUAUUACAAAACAUUCAGCCAGCAAUCAAAAGUUUGAGGUACAGCCUAACCUGCCACCAGCCACUGGGAGAGGCCAAUGGGAGAGGAACCUGUUUCUAGAACAACAAGUCAUCCAAAGUACCAGAACACAAGUUUUACUGGAGGAGCUAAGUUACGCUUUACAGGCUGAAGAUGAGACUCUUUUGUUGAAGAUGACAAACAGACUUCAGGAACAAUUGUUGACUGAACAGGAAGUUGAGGCUGCGGAAAAAAUCUGCUUCAAAAAUGAUUUUGAACAGAAGCGUUGUCUUGAAGAUAAAACUAAUAUAAAGACUAUAUUAGAAAUAGUGGCUGUUUUCAAUAAGCUGCAGAACGACUUAAAAAUUGAGAAAAAUGACUGCAACAAACUGAGGGUGCAGAAGGCUAGCGCAAUAGAUGGUAGUAGAUGCGAAUAUAUGAUCAAAAGCCAAGAAGAGCGGGCACAACUACAAACCAAAGUGUAUGAAUUAGAGAAACAAAUUGAAGCCCAAAAUCUUCAAAUCAAAGAGGAGCGAGCAGCCCGCACGAUGACUGCGUCCACGUGCAUGGCCACCCCUACUCAAACAAAGGAAGCCUUAAAGAGCGCGCAAGCCACAACUUUGGAGCAGGAGAAGGCAGCUACUAAAAAUAAAUCACGAUGGAAACGGUUCAAGAGCUGGUUAAAAAAAAGAGUAACCAAAGCAAAUAAAAAAGAACGGGUGUCAGAAGACAUCACAAAGGAGAAGGAGGAAAAGGAAGAGAAGAAUAGGAGGAG